CCCCUCUCAAGGUCAAACCUAGAGAAUUUCCAGUACUCUACCAGUCUCGACUAUGGGAGGGAGAGUCGAGCAGAAGCAUAACCAUUCCAUUCCUAGCUUGGGCAGUGGCUAGCGAGUGGAAGGCAAUCUGCUACAAGU